rnacentral:misc_RNA from 1 species
GCAGCGAGGGGCCGCGCGCGG